rnacentral:tRNA from 1 species
GGUGAGGUGGCCGAGAGGCUGAAGGCGCUCCCCUGCUAAGGGAGUAUGUGGUGUCAAAAACUGCAUCCGGGGUUCGAAUCCCCGUCUCACCGCCA